rnacentral:rRNA from 1 species
UGGGGAAUCUUGGACAAUGGGGGAAACCCUGAUCCAGCCAUGCCGCGUGGGUGAAGAAGGCCCUAGGGUCGUAAAGCCCUUUCGGCGGGGAAGAUGAUGACGGUACCCGCAGAAGAAGCCCCGGCUAACUCCGUGCCAGCAGCCGCGGUAAGACGGAGGGGGCUAGCGUUGUUCGGAAUCACUGGGCGUAAAGGGCGCGUAGGCGGUCCAUCAAGUCAGGGGUGAAAGGCCUGGGCUCAACCUGGGAACUGCCCUUGAAACUGGUGGACUUGAGUCCGGGAGAGGGUAGCGGAAUUCCCAGUGUAGAGGUGAAAUUCGUAGAUAUUGGGAAGAACACCAGUGGCGAAGGCGGCUACCUGGACCGGGACUGACGCUGAGGCGCGAAAGCGUGGGGAGCAAACA